AGCAGCCGCGGUAAUUCCAGCUCCUUUAGCGUAUAUUAAAGUUGUUGCAGUUAAAAAGCUCGUAGUUGAAUUUCGGGAUUAGUACGUUGGUCGUGCCUUCGGUACGUACUGGUGUUACUGAUUCCUACCUUCUGACGAACCAUCAUGUCAUUAAUUUGGUGUGGCGGGGAAUCAGGACUGUUACUUUGAAAAAAUUAGAGUGUUUAAAGCAGGCUCGCGCUUGAAUACAUUAGCAUGGAAUAAUGAAAUAGGACGUUGACCCUAUUUUGUUGGUUUCUAGGAUUGACGUAAUGAUUAAUAGGGAUAGUUGGGGGCAUUAGUAUUCAAUUGUCAGAGGUGAAAUUCUUGGAUUUAUUGAAGACUAACUACUGCGAAAGCAUUUGCCAAGGAUGUUUUCAUUAAUCAAGAACGAAAGUUAGGGGAUCGAAGACGAUCAGAUACCGUCGUAGUCUUAACCAUAAACUAUGCCGACUAGGGAUCGGAUGAUGUUAUUUUUAAUGACUCA
rnacentral:rRNA from 1 species